rnacentral:rRNA from 1 species
CUCGAUGAGUAGGGCGGGACACGUGGUAUCCUGUCUGAAUAUGGGGGGACCAUCCUCCAAGGCUAAAUACUCCUGACUGACCGAUAGUGAACCAGUACCGUGAGGGAAAGGCGAAAAGAACCCCGGCGAGGGGAGUGAAAAAGAACCUGAAACCGUGUACGUACAAGCAGUGGGAGCACGCUUAGGCGUGUGACUGCGUACCUUUUGUAUAAUGGGUCAGCGACUUAUAUUCUGUAGCAAGGUUAACCGAAUAGGGGAGCCGAAGGGAAACCGAGUCUUAACUGGGCGUUAAGUUGCAGGGUAUAGACCCGAAACCCGGUGAUCUAGCCAUGGGCAGGUUGAAGGUUGGGUAACACUAACUGGAGGACCGAACCGACUAAUGUUGAAAAAUUAGCGGAUGACUUGUGGCUGGGGGUGAAAGGCCAAUCAAACCGGGAGAUAGCUGGUUCUCCCCGAAAGCUAUUUAGGUAGCGCCUCGUGAAUUCAUCUCCGGGGGUAGAGCACUGUUUCGGCAAGGGGGUCAUCCCGACUUACCAACCCGAUGCAAACUGCGAAUACCGGAGAAUGUUAUCACGGGAGACACACGGCGGGUGCUAACGUCCGUCGUGAAGAGGGAAACAACCCAGACCGCCAGCUAAGGUCCCAAAGUCAUGGUUAAGUGGGAAACGAUGUGGGAAGGCCCAGACAGCCAGGAUGUUGGCUUAGAAGCAGCCAUCAUUUAAAGAAAGCGUAAUAGCUCACUGGUCGAGUCGGCCUGCGCGGAAGAUGUAACGGGGCUAAACCAUGCACCGAAGCUGCGGCAGCGACACUGUGUGUUGUUGGGUAGGGGAGCGUUCUGUAAGCCUGUGAAGGUGUACUGUGAGGUAUGCUGGAGGUAUCAGAAGUGCGAAUGCUGACAUAAGUAACGAUAAAGCGGGUGAAAAGCCCGCUCGCCGGAAGACCAAGGGUUCCUGUCCAACGUUAAUCGGGGCAGGGUGAGUCGACCCCUAAGGCGAGGCCGAAAGGCGUAGUCGAUGGGAAACAGGUUAAUAUUCCUGUACUUGGUGUUACUGCGAAGGGGGGACGGAGAAGGCUAUGUUGGCCGGGCGACGGUUGUCCCGGUUUAAGCGUGUAGGCUGGUUUUCCAGGCAAAUCCGGAAAAUCAAGGCUGAGGCGUGAUGACGAGGCACUACGGUGCUGAAGCAACAAAUGCCCUGCUUCCAGGAAAAGCCUCUAAGCAUCAGGUAACAUCAAAUCGUACCCCAAACCGACACAGGUGGUCAGGUAGAGAAUACCAAGGCGCUUGAGAGAACUCGGGUGAAGGAACUAGGCAAAAUGGUGCCGUAACU